rnacentral:rRNA from 1 species
UACGGAGGGUGCAAGCGUUAUCCGGAUUCACUGGGUUUAAAGGGUGUGUAGGCGGGUGUUUAAGUCAGUGGUGAAAAUCUCCAGGCUCAACCUGGAAACUGCCAUUGAUACUAUUCAUCUUGAAUUCUGUUGAGGUGGGCGGAAUAUAUCAUGUAGCGGUGAAAUGCUUAGAUAUGAUAUAGAACACCGAUUGCGAAAGGCAGCUCACUAAAACAGCGAUUGACGCUGAGGCACGAAACGCGCUAGGGGAAGUCAAACAGGGAAUUAAGAAGUACCCU